CAGGUAGGAGCGUGAGUUUUUCUUUAAUGCUCUGGGUGAGAUACUGAACGGUCGGCACAGUCUUCUAUUGUCUUCUAUUUGUUCUGUUUCUCCGCCGAACUGGAAACCCUCCGACUUGGCAAAUUUCUCUCAAGCUCACACGUACAACAUUCAAAAUCUUUGAUCUUCCCAAUGUGUGGCUGCUGCAAUCGGACAUAUUACCCCAGUGCUUCUCUAAUACCUGUUUCUCCGCCAAACUGGAAACCCUCCGACUUAGCAAAUUUCGCUCAAGCUCACACGUACAACAUUCAAAAUCUUUGAUCUUCCCAAUGUAUGACUGCUGCAAUCAGAGAUAUUACCCCAGUGCUUCUCUGAUAACUGGUGAUGCCAUGUCUCUGAGAUCAUCCUAGCUUUCACCCUCGCCUGGUAACUUUCUCAAGACUUUCGGAUGAGGGACAUUUUGUUUUCAAAGUUAAACAACUUCUUGAAUGUAUUUGAGAAAUGAAGGGCAUGGAAUUUAUUGGAAUCUUAUAUUUACCAUAACCUCCAUAACCGCCUUUCCCUGUGGAACAAACAGAUUGGCGUUAACCUUGAUCAGUAAGGAUUCCUUGGA